AGUAGAAAAAUUACCAUAUAUUUUUUUCUUUUGUCAAGAUGAGUCACUUUCAUUUGUAUUCACAGGCAAAAUCAUCAACAUUGCAGACUAGUACUCAACCUUCCUCACAAAGACCAUCUUGGUGGCCCUUUGAGAUGUCUCCUGGUGCAUUAACUUUUGCUAUUAUAUGGCCUUUUAUUGCCCAGUGGUUGGUGCAUUUGUAUUAUCAAAGAAGGAGAAGAAAACUGAACUGAAGAAAAUGAUAUUUUACUUAAGAAGACUGCUGGGCCUGGAUGACCUCAGAAUGAAAUGGAUUGUGGAGUUCACAAGAAAAUCUUAAUUUGUGAUGAUUACAUUUCUUUUUUGUUGUCCAGUAGUUUGGUUUGUGUACAUAUAUACACACAUAUUUUUUGUACUACACAAAUGAUAACAUUUUAAGGACUAAUAGUGCUGAUACUUGAAUAAUCAAUCUAAACUAGGUUAUAAGUAACAUAUAUUGUACCCUACUCUUGAACUUGAAGGACAUUAAAUUAUUGUUUGGUAA